GUUAGUGGCUACCAGUAUAUAUUUGUUAUGACUGAGUAUGUAUGCUUGGGUGAGAGUAGUACUAGGAUGGGUGACCUCCUGGGAAGUCCUUGUGUCGCACUCU
rnacentral:rRNA from 3 species